rnacentral:lncRNA from 1 species
GACAGGAGUUAGGGAGGCUGCAUUCCCUCUCUUUGCAGCAAUUGCCAGGUCGGGCUCCGUGGAGGAGGACCCCGCCGCCCUCCCUCCUGGCUGCCCCUCCAGAAGAAAAAGCGAUUCAGUGGAGCCCCCGAGCCGGGCGGGUGUGUGUGUGUACGUGUGUGUGUGUCCGUGCGGAUCAGCCGGGGGAACCUGACAGAAUCUGAGCAGCAAGUUGGUCCUAGAGCGCCCGGUUGACGCAAGGCAGGGGCCUAUGGCUCAGCCGUCUGGGCGAGAAACCAGAGGCUCAAGCCAGAGGCGAACUGCUCCCAAGUAGCAGGGGGUCUCCUCCCUGCACCCCUCCGGCCGGCACAGAGGGAGAUCCGGUGCAGAAAGGGCUGAUCUUGCAUUUCAGGGAAGCCUGCAGUGGAGACACCCGCACACGCAGAGCGAGGGCCGGGCAAAGAGUUCCUCUUUCUUGGGAGAUAAAAGAGAUGCUGGAGCCCUGGCUGGACCUGUUCGGAGAGUAAAAGGUCAGCUCUGCCCUUGCUUCUGCUGCCCGGAGCAUCGGAUCCAGGCUUCCCUGCAGGUCGGGGCUCCCAGGCCAUGGGACAGGGAGGAGGACUCAGAAACUCAAACCGAACAGAUCUGUGCUAGUACGUGACAGCAAGAGGUGAAAAUGGCUAGACAGUGAAAAUG